CUGGGAGGCGGAGAUUACAGUGAGCCAAGAUCACACCACUGCAUGCCAACCUGGGUGACACAGCAAGACCCUGUCUCAAAAAAAAAAAAAAAGAAAAAGAAAAAGUGUGGCACUUCCCUCCUAGCUCUCUCUCUCUCCUGCCACCACGUAUGAUGUGCCUUGCUUCCCCUUCUCCUUCCACCAUUAUUGUAAGUUUCCUGAGGCUUCUCCAGCCAUGUGGAACCAUGAAUCAGUUAAACCUCUUUUCUUUAUAAAUGAUGUAGUCUCAGUUAGUUCCUUAUAGCAGUGUGAAAUGGACUAAUACACUAGGUAUAUGUAUAUCUGUACUUAUGUCUACAUAUAUUGAUAUCACUAUCAACAUCUAUAUCUAUAUCGUCUUCUGUAAAUGAAGUGGCAGUAAAGCCCUGAAUUCCAGUCUCUCUAACAUUCACAUUGGUUCUCAGCCCUGGUUGCACAUCAGUGUCACCUCUGAGAGCACUUACAAAAUACAGAUGCUUGGACACCAUCCACAGAGAUUCUAAUCCAGUAGACUUGGGAUGAAGCCCAAUCAUCAGAAUUUUUAAAAAAAUAAAAUCUCCCAAGAUGAUAUUAGCAUGCCAUUGAGAGCCACUAACUUAAAUUUACUAAGCUUCAUGUUCCCAUGUAAUCAGUACAAACACCCAUCUCCCAGGAUUACAUAACACAAUGUACAUGAGGCUUUUUAUCACAAUGUGGGACCUAACCCUGUAAAUGUUAGUUCCAUUAAUAAUUAAUAUUCAUUACUUUUUUCUUUUGAGAUGGAGUCUCGCUCUGUCGCCCAGA
rnacentral:lncRNA from 10 species